rnacentral:rRNA from 1 species
UGAUUUGGGCUACACACGUGCUACAAGGACAAUACAAAGGGCAGCGAAACCGCGAGGUCAAGCAAAUCCCAUAAAGUUGUUCUCAGUUCGGAUUGUAGUCUGCAACUCGACUACAUGAAGCGGAAUCGCUAGUAAUCGUAGAUCAGCAUGCUACGGUGAAUACGUCCCGGGUCUUUAC